rnacentral:rRNA from 1 species
CCUGCUCAAUGAAAAUAUUUAAAUAGCCGCAAAUUUUGUGCUAAGGUAGCAUAAUAAAUUGUCUUUUAAUUUAAGAAUAGAAUGAAUGGAUUUACGAAUUAUAAACUAUUUUAAAUAUAAAUAAUAAAAUUAAUAAUAAUGUUAAAAAUCAUUAUAAAAAUGAAAAGACAACAAGACCCUUUUGAACUUUACUUAUAAGUUUUACUGGGGCGGUAAAUAAAAUAAAAACUUAUUUUAUAAUCUUAAAAAAUCCUUUAAAAAAUAAUAAUUAAGUUACCAAAGGGAUAACAGCACAAUUAUUUAUAAAAAAUCAUAUUUAAUAAUAAAAUUGUGACCUCGAUGUUGAAUUAUAUAUACUAAUAUAAGAAUAUUUAUAAUAAGUAAGUCUGUUCGACUUUUAAUAAUUUACAU